CACAGAUGUAUCAACUACACUCAACUAAUGUAGUUAAAGUUAGUGUGCUAAAAAAAAAAAUUAGUGUGCUAUUCAGGAUGCUACAGAUUUAGCAAAAUUCUAACCUGGAUCAGAGGAGUGAAAUGCCCCGUGAAUUGAGGCAACUGUAGAUAUUCGAAAUGCUUCUAAAAAGGCUGUGAGGUUAUGUCCUUUACUGCAUGUCAUUGGUAGGUCAUCUCAAAAUGGCACUCGAGCUUUGGAAGGGUGAGAACUAUUGCUAGAUUUGGUAGGGGGUCUGCAUCUAUGGGCCCGAGUCCUCCAUCUCCACAAGCUGCCCCUCAGUGGGGAAGAGGAGGGGGAGGCUAAGGGAGUCUCCGUAACGUUUGUGGGCAGCAGGGAAGAGAACAUGGCAGAGAUUCCUCACCGCUGGAUGGCUUGUCCCCUGGGGAUGUGUGUUUUUAUCUAACACCCACCUGCAUCUACUUGGGUUGGUCUCUACAAAAGCUGUAAAACAAAAACUGAAUGAAAAAGGAAAAUAAAAGACUAAUAUUUUUGAAAUGAGAAGGGGCUAGGACAAGAGAAGCUCCUGAGAAUGUUAUCCCCGCAGGGCGGGGGCCAUGGGUUACCAUCAGACAAGGAAAAUUCAAUCCAUGUUCAAUGCAGAGAACAGCGACUUCUCACCUUGAAAAACUCUCCAACUCUACUGGGGCUUGCAUUUUGCAGCUGUCUUUCAUGUAAAAAUGAUACAUUAAAAAAAGGAUCUUCAGAACAACUGAAGAAUUUUAAAUGACUACUGGCUGAGGGAAGAUGGAAAGAAAUGUGGCUGUUGUGGUCUUUGAAAUCCUCAGGACAGAAACUGGGAAUGGCACACUCUGCUGAGUAUAGAAAAAAUAAGAUGCUGACCUUGUUUUCCUGCCAACUUUCCACCUUCACCUGGUGCUCUGAGCUCUGUUAAAAACAGACCUAAAAACCCUACCCCUUGGCCUAGCUGGGUUGGGGACUGCCUCCCCCAGGUCCUGCACCUCCACACGCCAGCGGAUGGCUUGGGGGAGCCCUACUAGCUGCUGUGCUAGAAGGCCUAUUCCUGGACUCCUGAGGCCAUCAGUCACAGUUCCAGGACCCCAGCAGAACCUUCCCUUCCCCAAAACACCACCUGUAUUUCUUUUUUUUGUGUGUGUGUGUGACAGGGUCUUGCUCUUUGGCCCAGGCCAGAGUGCAGUGGCACAAACACAGCUUACUGCAGCCUCAAACUCCUGGGCUCAAGUGAUGCUCCCACCUCAGCCUCCCAAGCAGCUGAGAUUACAGGUGCCUAUCAUUGUACCCAGCUAAUUAAAAAACAAAAUUUUGGGCCAGGCGCGGUGGCUUACCCCUGUAGUCCCAGCACUUUGGGAGGUUGAGGCAGGCUUAUCACUUGAGGUCAGGAGUUCAAGACCAGCCUGGCCAACAUGGUGAAACUGUUUCUACUAAAAAUACAAAAAUAUGCCAGGCAUGGUGGCAUGUGCCUAUAAUCCCAGCUACUUAGGAGGCUAAGGCAGGAGAAUCUCUUGAACCUGGGAGGCGGAAGUUGUAAUAAGCCAAGAUCACACUACUCUAGCCUGGAGGUCUUGCCAUGUUGCCCAGGCUGGUCUCAAACUCCUGGGCUCAAGCAAUCCUCCCACCUCAGCCUCCCAAAGUGCUGGGAUUAUAGGCAUGAGCCACCAUGCCUGACCACCAUGUGUAUUUCUAUGGACAGGACAUGGCAUUCCUCUUCUACAUGCACACCACUGGCAAAUAAAAAAAAAAAAAAUGGUAGUCGGGGAAACUCCUGGAGUUGUAAAAAUAAAUUGUACAUGGCCUUUCAUGUUUCUUUCCUUCUUUUUAACCUAAAGAGAGCAGGAUACAGACAAAAAUGGGGGAGUUUGGCCACAGUCAUUGGCAACUUGGGCUCCCAGUGGAGAGGGGCUGGUAUGGCCCCAGCGGGGAGGGAGGGACACCGCAACGCCAUUGCUCAGAGCUGGUUCUAGAUGAUUUACACGUAAUCACUCAAAAUAGAGCCAAUCACAGGCCAGGUGUGGUGGCUCACUCCUGAGUGAGCUGAAAUCGCGCCACUGGCACUCCAGCCUGGGCGACAGAGCAAGACUCUGUCUCAAAAAAAAAAACAAACAAACAACAACAAAAAAAACACAAAAAAACAGCCGGGCUCAGUGGCUCAUGCCUGUAAUCCCAGCACUUUGGGAGGCUGAGGCAGGCAGAUCACCUUGCCAUCAGGAGUUCGAGACCAGCCGGGCCAACAUGGUGAAACCCCCUCUUUACUAAAAAUACAAAAACAUUAGCUGGGUGUGGUGAUGGGCACCUGUAAUCCCAGCCACAUGGGAGGCUGAGGCAGGAGAAUCGCUUAAACACGGGCGGCGGAGGUUGCAGUGAGCUGAGACGGUGCUAUUGCCCUCCAGCCUGGGCAAUAAGGAUGAAACUCCAUCUCAAAAUAAAUAAGUAAAAAUAAAAAACAGAACCAAUCACAGAAAACACCCACUCCCACUCCGGGUAUCCCAAGACAGCAACUGCCUCCCCACAUAAAACCCUGGACUAAUUCCAGCUUAAAUCUAACAACCAACAGCUCAACUCAACUACUUGGGAUAUUACUUUCCCCCACUUUAAUGGUGGGCAAAGAAGAAGUACAGGGUUAAUAAAAAAAAAAUGCUUCAAACAAGUGCCUGAAUCAGCAGAAGUAGUAACUUUCAGGUUGAAUUGGUUCUAUGUGUCGAGUUUCAUUUAAAUACAAAGGCAUGGGUGAUGUAAUGACCAUCGCCCAACAGCUGCUCAGGAGCUCCCGCAGGCUGCCUGCCUUGUGGCUGCCAGGGGAAGGUGUCCACCCCUCAGUGGUUCUCCAAGCAGCUGUGCUUCAGUCGCCUAAAGAACUUACAAAACAUGUGAACUGCAUCUCUGGUCCCAUUCCAGACAUUCUGAAGUUAACCAACUAGGGCAGCCAAGAGUGUUUUCAAAAGGGUCCACUGUAGGUUCUGAUGCAGAGCUGCAGCUGGGAUGCACUAACAGGGGGGCGGAGUUCUUGUCUCAAGGUGGCUUGAGAAUCAGGGAUCUGCUGACCCGUGCAGCCCAGUUGCCACCUCUGCAAAGGUCUGGCUUGGAGGAAGGGACUGAGCUCCUACCUCUCCAGGAAUGGUAAGGGGCUGGACCUGCAGCCUCUAGAACCUGGCUCUGAACCAGUGGCUCAGAUCAGCAAUCAGAGAUGUACUUUGAAUAGUAAUGGCAGUCACUGUCAUUCUCGGUGACUCACUGGAAGGAUGAUCCUUUGUUGGAGGGGCGCUAACACGCUAUUUGGCACUUAAAACAGCAAGGGAUGGGCAUUACCCAUUUCCCUCAAACAACUGUGUGAGCCACGCCCUCACUCGCUGUGUAGUGCACACAGAUCCGCCCAGAAGAACACGGCAGAGCCACCAGAUGGGCACUCGGGCCGGACUGAGCACUUCUGAGGGACUGGGGCACCGCUGGGGAGGGCUCUGCUGCCACUUAAGGUGACCAGUAGGAUGCUGGGGCAACUGCAUUCUUCUUUGUUAGUUAUAAAUGUGCCCUCACCGCCCACCCCUAAGGGCUUUUCCCAUGCCGAUGAAAGAGGCCUGGGGAAGCACUAAAGGCCAAAUCAGUCCAGAGCCGAAAUACUGUUGGGAUUUGCUGUCAGCCCAGCAUCCCCAGAGGCACACACCCUCAGCCUGCUCAACCCUGUAAAGCAGACACAGGCCAUUCACACAUGUGACCUCCUGUCAAGUUCUGUGGGGUACAAGCCUGUGUGGAUGUGAACGGGAGGGUAAACGAAUGGGAGGACAAAGGCGCAGGUGACGAGGACUGCGGUUUCCCUACUGUGAAAGCCGCGAGCUGCUCAGGAGCACACAGACUUUGGUGGCAGAGGUGUGGGGCACCUCCCAGGGACUCCAGCAAAGCAGCCAGGGGCUCCCUUGCAUUCUCACAGGCUUUCCUUUUGCUACAAUAAAUCAAAUAAGGGAUGGUGAGAGCUAAAAGUGAAUCAAGUUCC
rnacentral:lncRNA from 1 species